rnacentral:rRNA from 1 species
UACGGGGGGAGCAAGCGUUGUUCGGAUUUACUGGGCGUAAAGGGCGCGUAGGCGGUCGUGACAAGUCACUUGUGAAAUCUCCGGGCUUAACUCGGAACGGUCAAGUGAUACUGUCGGACUAGAGUACAGAAGGGGCAACUGGAAUUCUCGGUGUAGCGGUGAAAUGCGUAGAUAUCGGGAGGAACACCUGUGGCGAAAGCGGCGCACUGGACCACAACUGACGCUCAGGCACGAAAGCGUGGGGAGCAAACAGG